rnacentral:rRNA from 1 species
CCUACGGGAGGCUGCAGUGGGGAAUAUUGCACAAUGGGGGAAACCCUGAUGCAGCGACGCCGCGUGAAGGAUGAAGUAUCUCGGUAUGUAAACUUUUAUCAGCAGGGAAGAAAAUGACGGUACCUGACUAAGAAGCCACGUCGAACUACGUGCCAGCAGCCGCGGUAAUACGUAGGGGUCAAGCGUAAGCCGGAUUUACUGGGUGUAAAGGGGGCGUAGACGGCAUGGCAAGUCUGAUGUGAAACCCCGGGGCUCAACCCCGGGACUGCAUUGGAAACUGGCAGGCUGGAGUGUCGGUGAGGCAAGUGGAAUUCCUAGUGUAGCGGUGAAAUGCGUAGAUAUUAGGAGGAACCCCAGUGGCGAAGGCGGCUUGCUGGACGAUGACUGACGUUGAGGCUCGAAAGCGUGGGGAGCAAACAGGAUUAGAUACCCGGGUAGUC